rnacentral:rRNA from 1 species
GGGCCCGCACAAGCGGUGGAGGAUGUGGCUUAAUUCGAGGCUACGCGAAGAACCUUAUCCUAGUCUUGACAUGUAUGGAUUAACCCUGUGAAAGCAGGGCCACGCCUUCGGGUGGAACAUACACAGGUGCUGCAUGGCUGUCGUCAGCUCGUGUCGUGAGAUGUCGCGUUAAGUCGCUUAACGAGCGAAACCCUUGUCUCUAGUUGCCAGCGCGUAAUGGCGGGGACUCUAGAGAGACCGCCGGCGUUAAGCCGGAGGAAGGUGGGGAUGACGUCAAGUCCUCAUGGCCCUUAUGACUAGGGCUGCACACGUCCUACAAUGGAACGCACAAAGGGAUGCGAAACCGCGAGGUCAAGCAAAUCCCAAAAUCGUUCCCUAGUUCGGAUUGCAGGCUGCAACUCGCCUGCAUGAAGCUGGAAUCGCUAGUAAUCG